UACGUAGGGUGCGAGCGUUGUCCGGAAUUAUUGGGCGUAAAGAGCUCGUAGGCGGCUGUUCAAGUCGAACGUGAAAACUCGGAGCUCAACUCCGAGCCUGCGUUCGAUACUGGACGGCUAGAGUCUGGUAGGGGGAUCUGGAAUUCCUGGUGUAGCGGUGGAAUGCGCAGAUAUCAGGAGGAACAGCCGGUGGCGAAGGCGGGAUCCUGGGCCAGUACUGACGCUGAGGAGCGAAAGCGUGGGGAGCAAACAGG
rnacentral:rRNA from 1 species